GGGAUUAGCUAGUUGGUGAGGUAAGGGCUCACCAAGGCGACGAUCCCUAGCUGGUCUGAGAGGAUGAUCAGCCACACUGGAACUGAGACACGGUCCAGACUCCUACGGGAGGCAGCAGUGGGGAAUAUUGCACAAUGGGCGCAAGCCUGAUGCAGCCAUGCCGCGUGUGUGAAGAAGGCCUUCGGGUUGUAAAGCACUUUCAGUCGUGAGGAAGGUAGUGUAGUUAAUAGCUGCAUUAUUUGACGUUAGCGACAGAAGAAGCACCGGCUAACUCCGUGCCAGCAGCCGCGGUAAUACGGAGGGUGCGAGCGUUAAUCGGAAUUACUGGGCGUAAAGCGCAUGCAGGUGGUUUGUUAAGUCAGAUGUGAAAGCCCGGGGCUCAACCUCGGAAUUGCAUUUGAAACUGGCAGACUAGAGUACUGUAGAGGGGGGUAGAAUUUCAGGUGUAGCGGUGAAAUGCGUAGAGAUCUGAAGGAAUACCGGUGGCGAAGGCGGCCCCCUGGACAGAUACUGACACUCAGAUGCGAAAGCGUGGGGAGCAAACAGGAUUAGAUACCCUGGUAGUCCACGCCGUAAACGAUGUCUACUUGGAGGUUGUGGCCUUGAGCCGUGGCUUUCGGAGCUAACGCGUUAAGUAGACCGCCUGGGGAGUACGGUCGCAAGAUUAAAACUCAAAUGAAUUGACGGGGGCCCGCACAAGCGGUGGAGCAUGUGGUUUAAUUCGAUGCAACGCGAAGAACCUUACCUACUCUUGACAUCCAGAGAACUUUCCAGAGAUGGAUUGGUGCCUUCGGGAACUCUGAGACAGGUGCUGCAUGGCUGUCGUCAGCUCG
rnacentral:rRNA from 1 species